UACGAAGGGGGUUAGCGUUGCUCGGAAUCACUGGGCGUAAAGGGUGCGUAGGCGGGUCUUUUAAGUCAGGGGUGAAAUCCUGGAGCUCAACUCCAGAACUGCCUUUGAUACUGAGGAUCUUGAGUUCGGGAGAGGUGAGUGGAACUGCGAGUGUAGAGGUGAAAUUCGUAGAUAUUCGCAAGAACACCAGUGGCGAAGGCGGCUCACUGACCCGAUACUGACGCUGAGGCACGAAAGCGUGGGGAGCAAACAGG
rnacentral:rRNA from 1 species